GAACCAGUACCGUGAGGGAAAGGUGAAAAGUACCCCGGAAGGGGAGUGAAAGAGAACUUGAAACCGUGUGCUUACAAGUAGUCAGAGCCCGUUAAUGGGUGAUGGCAUGCCUUUUGUAGAAUGAACCGGCGAGUUACGAUUUGAUGCAAGGUUAAGCAGCUAAUGUGGAGCCGUAGCGAAAGCGAGUCUGAAUAGGGCGUUUAGUAUUUGGUCGUAGACCCGAAACCAGGUGAUCUACCCUUGGUCAGGUUGAAGUUCAGGUAACACUGAAUGGAGGACCGAACCGACUUACGUUGAAAAGUGAGCGGAUGAACUGAGGGUAGCGGAGAAAUUCCAAUCGAACUUGGAGAUAGCUGGUUCUCUCCGAAAUAGCUUUAGGGCUAGCCUCAAGUGAUGAUUAUUGGAGGUAGAGCACUGUUUGGACGAGGGGCCCUUCUCGGGUUACCGAAUUCAGACAAACUCCGAAUGCCAAUYAAUUUAACUUGGGAGUCAGAACAUGGGUGAUAAGGUCCGUGUUCGAAAGGGAAACAGCCCAGACCACCAGCUAAGGUCCCAAAAUAUAUGUUAAGUGGAAAAGGAUGUGGCGUUGCCCAGACAACUAGGAUGUUGGCUUAGAAGCAGCCAUCAUUUAAAGAGUGCGUAAUAGCUCACUAGUCGAGUGACACUGCGCCGAAAAUGUACCGGGGCUAAACAUAUUACCGAAGCUGUGGAUUGUCCGUAGGACAAUGGUAGGAGAGCGUUCUAAGGGCGUCGAAGCAUGAUCGCAAGGACAUGUGGAGCGCUUAGAAGUGAGAAUGCCGGUGUGAGUAGCGAAAGACGGGUGAGAAUCCCGUCCACCGAUUGACUAAGGUUUCCAGAGGAAGGCUCGUCCGCUCUGGGUUAGUCGGGUCCUAAGCUGAGGCCGACAGGCGUAGGCGAUGGAUAACAGGUUGAUAUUCCUGUACCACCUAGUAUCGUUUUAAUCGAUGGGGGGACGCAGUAGGAUAGGCGAAGCGUGCUAUUGGAUUGCACGUCCAAGCAGUAAGACUGAGUGUUAGGCAAAUCCGGCACUCAUAAGGUCAAGCUGUGAUGGGGAGAGGAAAUUGUUUCCUCGAGUCGUUGAUUUCACACUGCCAAGAAAAGCCUCUAGAUAGAUAACAGGUGCCCGUACCGCAAACCGACACAGGUAGUCAAGAUGAGAAUUCUAAGGUGAGCGAGCGAACUCUCGUUAAGGAACUCGGCAAAAUGACCCCGUAACUUCGGGAGAAGGGGUGCUCUUUAGGGUUAACGCCCAGAAGAGCCGCAGUGAAUAGGCCCAAGCGACUGUUUAUCAAAAACACAGGUCUCUGCUAAACCGUAAGGUGAUGUAUAGGGGCUGACGCCUGCCCGGUGCUGGAAGGUUAAGAGGAGUAGUUAGCUUCUGCGAAGCUACGAAUCGAAGCCCCAGUAAACGGCGGCCGUAACUAUAACGGUCCUAAGGUAGCGAAAUUCCUUGUCGGGUAAGUUCCGACCCGCACGAAAGGCGUAACGAUUUGGGCACUGUCUCAACGAGAGACUCGGUGAAAUCAUAGUACCUGUGAAGAUGCAGGUUACCCGCGACAGGACGGAAAGACCCCGUGGAGCUUUACUGUAGCCUGAUAUUGAAAUUCGGCACAGCUUGUACAGGAUAGGUAGGAGCCUUUGAAACGUGAGCGCUAGCUUACGUGGAGGCAUUGGUGGGAUACUACCCUAGCUGUGUUGGCUUUCUAACCCGCACCAYUUAUCGUGGUGGGAGACAGUGUCAGGUGGGCAGUUUGACUGGGGCGGUCGCCUCCUAAAAGGUAACGGAGGCGCUCAAAGGUUCCCUCAGAAUGGUUGGAAAUCAUUCAUAGAGUGUAAAGGCAUAAGGGAGCUUGACUGCGAGACUUACAAGUCGAGCAGGGUCGAAAGACGGACUUAGUGAUCCGGUGGUUCCGCAUGGAAGGGCCAUCGCUCAACGGAUAAAAGCUACCCCGGGGAUAACAGGCUUAUCUCCCCCAAGAGUUCACAUCGACGGGGAGGUUUGGCACCUCGAUGUCGGCUCAUCGCAUCCUGGGGCUGUAGUCGGUCCCAAGGGUUGGGCUGUUCGCCCAUUAAAGCGGUACGCGAGCUGGGUUCAGAACGUCGUGAGACAGUUCGGUCCCUAUCCGUCGUGGGCGUAGGAAAUUUGAGAGGAGCUGUCCUUAGUACGAGAGGACCGGGAUGGACAUACCUCUGGUGUACCAGUUGUCGUGCCAACGGCAUAGCUGGGUAGCUAUGUAUGGACGGGAUAAGUGCUGAAAGCAUCUAAGCAUGAAGCCCCCCUCAAGAUGAGAUUUCCCAACUUCGGUUAUAAGAUCCCUCAAAGAUGAUGAGGUUAAUAGGUUCGAGGUGGAAGCGUGGUGACACGUGGAGCUGACGAAUACUAAUCGAUCGAAGACUUAAUCAAAA
rnacentral:rRNA from 1 species